AUUAACAUGCCUGGGCCAGGCAUAUGUACUUUACUGCAUACGUACACAUUGGUUGUUUACCCAAACUUAUGCAUGGUGGCCAGUGGUAGCCAGCACCACCUUGUAAUGGCAUAUGUGGCUUCCUACAGACCUCAUGUAUGUAUUGGUUCACCUUAUAUUGCAUUGCUGAGCUUUAAUUAUGUUGACUUCAUAGAGGGGAAACUCACCAAAGAACUUCUUGGGAGAUUCCUGUGGCUUCUUGCCACUUUCAGCAGACUUGGGCCAGUUGGUAAGCCUUGAGCCUUGCAGUUUCUUCUGGAUUGAACUGCCCUUGCUGAUUUUGUGUGUGAUGUCUCCCAUGUGGACCAGACUGCAGCUGCUGAUUUGUAUGUGGUGUUUGCUAGUGCACUAGAUUGAGAAUAACAAAGGUUAGAAUUGCCCUAAAGAACUAUUUCUCAACAGGUCCACUUUCCCCAUAUACUAAUAAUUUUUCUUUUCCAUUACCUCUGGUGGUAUGCUAGAGGGGAAGUUGAACUCUUAUUAAAGUAAGUUGUGAAUAUAUAUAUAUAUAUAUAUAUAUACCCUUAGAAGUCAGGAAUGAUAAGGGGCCAUGAGGGUCUUUCAAGGAAGUGGAGCUAGAAUACAGUGAUAGAAAUGGUUAUAGGCAAACAUGGGACAGGAAAGAUUAAAUGGGUUGAGGAUCAGGGUAACAGAAUAGAGGAAGGGAUCAGGAGAGGAAUACCUAACAAUAAAGACCUUUCAAAAACUC
rnacentral:lncRNA from 1 species